rnacentral:pre_miRNA from 1 species
UGUGUACUCCCUCCAUUCCAAAAUACUUGACUUCCAUUUGUCCAAAAAUGGAUGUACCUAUAUACUAAAACAUGUCUAGAUACAUCUAUAUUUUGACAAAUAGAAGGCAUGUAUUGUGGAACAUAGGGAGUAGAAU